GCGGCUGGGAGGUCCCGCGCUGGCGGAGCAAAUGAGGAGGGCGCAGGGCACGGGGGGCGGCGCGCGCCCGGGACAGUUUCCCGUCGGCUUCUCCCGGACUGUCCUACCACUUCCAUCUCGGAGCGGGAUGCUCGGAUCCCCGCAAGGCCUCCUGCGGACGUGGGAGACAUGCUGAGACAGGCCAGCGGGGUUUCGCUACCGGUUGCCACCCCUCUCGCCCUUUUGGAGAAGAUAGAGCUAAGCAGCAUUUGGCAGAAAUCCUGUGUCCGUGGAACAUUUAUUAUUAUUAUUUUUCCUGAAACGCAGGUGACAGUUGAUGAGGCUCAGCAUCUCCAGAUAAAAGAAGGGACAGAGCUGUCGGUGCGGUGAGGUUUGAAAAGUUGCGGCGGCCCCGGGCAGCUGCAGGGGGCGAGCGCGGAGCAAAGCCCGGGCCUCACCAGACGGGCCCUGAGUCUCCAGGGCUCCUCGUCCCCAUGCGCCAGCGUGUCCGAUGCUUCACUGGACCCGGGUCUCCUUCUCAAUGUCAUCUCACAGCCUCUGUCCCUUGGGAGGAGGCCAACACUAAAAGUGCAGCGAUGAGCCUCAUGUCUCACAGCCAGUCAGGCUCCUAAUCCAGAAGCCACUGCUGUGACCCGCACUUCGGGACAUUCUGCCAUUUGAUCCCUACAACCUCACUACCUGAAGGACUAUAUUUUGAUCAUUCUUAAUGGGCCAGCUUCAAACCCUGUCAAGUUUUGAGGAGGGCAGAUGAAGCUGAUGACAGCUCCAGUUCCAGCUAGGGGUGACCUGUCUGUCUGCCUUUUUUGAGCUGUGGAGUGAUUGGAGUCAUAUUUGCUGCCUGUGCAGCACCACAGGCCUGAUGAAAAUGAAAGGGCAACACCAUGCAGAUGGCGAAGCAUAGGUCUCACAAGUGUCCUGGCCACGAAGUACAGAUGGGGUUUCACCAUGUUGACCAGGCUGGUCUCAAACUCCUGGCCUCAACUGAUCUGCCUGCCUCAGCCUCCCAAAGUGCUGGGAUUACAAGCAUGAGCCACCACGCCCAGCCUGCUGAAAGAGUUUUAAGAGGUCUCUUCUUGGCCUCUAUCUGUAAGUUGAAUAGAAACAAUGUGCAUUGUUCUAGAAGCCUGUUUCUAUCACAGCCCUGCAGCACCUGCCCUUCCCAUGGUGAGUGGUGGAGUUGCGGUCUGUGUCCUCCUCUCAUUUCUCCCAGUCAUUCCCACUUGAGGACCAACCUCUUUACUUCUAACUGUGAGGCCCUGGACUAAAUUCUGCAGUAUCCCUGCCAAAGAGCAGGGCUCCAAUACUCCCGGCCAGUGGAGCUUUCCCAAGGAACACAGCGUUCAGAAUGCACUGCUUGAACAAGAUCCAGUAGCUUUCCUUGAUAGGUGCUUUCAGAAACAUGUUCUUGUGUGGAACAGUUACUGGUAUCCCAGCCAAAAAAGGCUGCCUAUUUCUCAGAGCCGUGCAUACAGGGAUCGGUGCCAGCACUUGGAGUUUGAAAAGUCAGCUUUGAAAGUGAGUGCAAGUCCCUGCAAGGUAUACCGAAUGGUCUGUUUCUCUUUAUUUGAGCCAGACAUCUGUGUAACUGGCCGGCUGUGCACAUCAUAUGGCACAGAGUCGGGAGGUGAGCCGGUCUCUUAAGUUGGUGCUUUUGCUCACCACAGACACAUUCCCCUGAAAUUAAGGAACAGAACAAGCAAACACAAAUGUAUAAAGACUGAGGAAAAAUGAUUGUUCCGGCUGUUGAUGAUUUCCUCAGGUGUAGGCAUAGUGAAAUGCCCUUUCUUCCCCUCUGCUACUGAAGAUGGUAAUGACAUUGAGUGGCUUGGAAGUUCAAGCCACUCAACAAAUAUUGAUCAGUCACUCCCUGUAUACUCAGUGCUGACAGGGGCACAAGAUGUGUCACCACCUUUCUUCCUGAGUAGUUUAUGAUCCGGCUGAGGGUGAGCGGCCAUGCGCACAGGGAAUCGUGGGAAAAGUUGUGUCAUGGCAUGGCCACCCCAGGAAUGCCUGUUGUGGGGGCUCAGUGGCCAGAGGCCCAGAUCCUCCCCUGCUGUGGCUUCUUUCCUUAUGCCUGUCUCCUGCACAUUCUCAUCACCCCAACCCCAAUCCAGGCUCUGUCACGCUUUUCAGCCCAGGGUCUUCCUCCAGUCCAAUGAGGACGGCUCAGGAAAUCCUAGCUCUGGAUGUGUCUAUACCAGGGUGAGUCUGGCUGUGGGGUUUCAAGCCUUACCUUCCCGGAGGAAUUUCAUCAGGGUCUGAAGGAAAUAAAAGAGGGACUGGGCUGCAGGAGGGGAAGAGAGGGCUGUUCUUUCUUCAUUAUUGAUAGUCAUAAAUCAUUGGAAAGUCCUAAAAGACUGCCUGAGUGUUCAUUUCCAGGACAGAAGGAUACACAGGCAACGUAAGAAUAUAAGACCGUGUUGAGGGCAACAGCAGGGCAGAGGAGAAAACUGCUGGUCACAACUCUAGAUGGUGACUCAAGAGAGGACAACAGCCAGCGGUCCAUACGCUGAGACGGAUGGAGGAAGAGACACACAGGGACGAGGAAGCCAGCCUGGGGACCGAGUGUCCUUGGAUUACCUCCAAGUGCCCUGCUUCUCACCCAUGGAGUUCAGCUCCCCUCUUCAUGAUAUCAGCAGUGAUAUGGAGCUGGAGGGGUCCCCAGAAGGAAGUGCAGCUGUCGCUCAUUCCAUCCUUCCUGGCAUUUCAAGUUGGAAUGACAAAUUCAGUUCCAGGGUGUUAGGUUUGCAGGUGUUUUUAGCAUACCAAGGUCUCACAUGUACACAUUAGGUGUUUGGGCUGGUUUGGGGACCUAGUCAUCAUACACCCUGUUUCUAAGGAAAAUACAUGCCAAAUUCCAAACAAGUGAAGUAUAUUUUUGUUGCACGAAGCCUUUGUAACACGAAGAUUAGGGCAUCUGAGAAUUUUAUUUGGAUGGCGAGGCACAGAAUAAAAUGGGCCUGAGGAGCAUCAGGGGACCUGGGUGCAAGUCUUGCACAAAUGCACAAAUGCUUAUCAAGCCAAAUUCCCAAAUAUAUAGAUGUGUUAUCUGCAGGAAGAGGGUUUUGAUUAGUUUCUAAGGCCCUCUCUGUUCUUUCUAAAAACCAGCCUAAAAUGGAACAUGUCUUCUCUAAGAAUCCCAAAUGCCUCUCAAGUAUCAACCCCUUUUAUCCAUGCGUCCUCUGUGUUCCUAUGAGGCUGCAAGAAUAAUGGUAUUUUCUCCUUUUCAUACACGAGGUGGGGAAGGUCUCUCUGAGAAAACUUUUAGAGGGGAGGAUUUCUCAACUCUAAUUUAUUCUCUUUGGUUUGUUCCUUUGUGAAACAGCAUUGUCUUCAGCUUCGAUGUCUUAGCCUUGAGAGAGCAGCGGGGCCAUUCAGCGGUCAUUUGGCCACAGGGAUGUCCGUCACUGAAGGCUGUUUCUGCUGUUGUAUUCCAUCUCAGACCUAGAUGCCUGCAGUUUCCUCGGAUUGAAAACAUCAAGGGAUCUCCUGGUGCAAUUCUCACUCUGUCACCCAAGCUGGAGUGCAGUGGCACGAUCUUGGCUCACUGCAGCCUCUGCCUCCCGGAUUCAAGCGAUUCUCCUGCCUCAACCUCUCUAGUAGCUGGGACUACAGAUAUCUCUCCACUCUCCUCCGCAUCCGGUACAUCACCGCCAUGGACUGAAUGUUUGUGUCCCCGCAAAUUUCUGUGUUGCACUCUAAGCACCAAGAUGAUGGUAUCAGAGAUGAGGGAUUUGGCAGGUGGUUAAGCCAUGAAGACAGAGGCCUGAUGAACGGGGUUGGUGCCUUUAGAAAAGAGGCCUCAGAGAGCUGUCCCAUCCCUUCUACCAUGUGAGAACGCAGAGAGACAGCACCACCUGUGAACCAGAAGGUGGCGCUCACCAGACAUUGAAUCUGCUGAUGCAGUGCUCUCGGAUGUGAACCAGAAAGUCUGAGACAGGUCUUAGUUAAUUUAGAAAGUUUAUUUUGCCAAGGUUGAGGACGUGCUUGUGACACAGCCUCAGGAAAUCCUGAUGACAUGUGCCCAAGGUGGUCAGGGCACAGCCUGGUUUUAUACAUUUAGGGAGACAUGAGGCAUCAAUCAAUAUAUGUAAGAAGUACAUUGGUUCGGUCUGGAAAGGUGGGACAACAUGAAGCAAAGGCAGGAAGAAUGGAAGCGGGGAGGGAGCUUCCAGGUCACAGGUAGGUGAUACACAAAUGGUUACAUCCUUUUGAGUUUCUCAUUAGCCUUUCCAAAGGUGGCAAAUCAGAUACGCAUCUAUCUCAGUGAGGAGAGGAGUGACUUUGAAUAGAAUGGGAGGCAGGUUUGCCCUAAGCAGUUCCCGGCUUGAGUUUUCCUUAGUGAUUUUGGGGUCCCAAGAUAUUUUCCUUUCACAUGGACUUCCCAGCCUUUAGAACUGUCAGAGAUAAAUGUCUGUUGUUUAUAAGCCACCCAGUUUAUGGCAUUUUGUUAUAGCAGCCCAAACCAAGUAAGAAGACUGCCAACCAGUUCUACCUAAACAGUCCCUCCAUGUGUCCACCAUCCUGAGUCCCCAUUACCAUGCCUUGUCCAGACCCCAACAUUUCUGUGGUUUGAUGCAAUAAAAGUUUACUGCCUAAAUAACA